rnacentral:rRNA from 1 species
UACGUAGGGGGCUAGCGUUGUCCGGAAUCAUUGGGCGUAAAGAGCGUGUAGGCGGUCCGGUAAGUCCGCUGUGAAAGUCGGGGGCUCAACCCUCGAAUGCCGGUGGAUACUGUCGGGCUAGAGUGCGGAAGAGGCGAGUGGAAUUCCUGGUGUAGCGGUGAAAUGACGCAGAUAUCAGGAGGAACACCUAUUGCGAAGGCAGCUCGCUGGGACGUAACUGACGCUGAGACGCGAAAGCGUGGGGAGCGAACAGG